rnacentral:rRNA from 1 species
UACGGAGGGUGCAAGCGUUGUCCGGAUUUAUUGGGCGUAAAGAGCUCGUAGGCGGUUUGUCGCGUCUGCCGUGAAAGUCCGGGGCUCAACUCCGGAUCUGCGGUGGGUACGGGCAGACUAGAGUGAUGUAGGGGAGACUGGAAUUCCUGGUGUAGCGGUGAAAUGCGCAGAUAUCAGGAGGAACACCGAUGGCGAAGGCAGGUCUCUGGGCAUUAACUGACGCUGAGGAGCGAAAGCAUGGGGAGCGAACAGG